rnacentral:rRNA from 1 species
UAUUGCCAGAUGUCUGAUUUUGGGAGCUCAGCAGGAUUCAGUGUGGUGAGUACUAGGAUGGGAGACUACCUGGGAAUACCACCUGGGAAUAC